rnacentral:rRNA from 1 species
CUACGGGGGGCACCAGUGAGGAAUAUUGCACAAUGGGGGGAACCCUGAUGCAGCAACGCCGCGUGGAGGAUGACGCAUUUCGGUGUGUAAACUCCUUUUAUAUGUCAAGAAAAUGACGGUAGCAUAUGAAUAAGCACCGGCUAACUCCGUGCCAGCAGCCGCGGUAAUACGGAGGGUGCAAGCGUUACUCGGAAUCACUGGGCGUAAAGGACGCGUAGGCGGGUUGGAAAGUCAGGUGUGAAAUCCUACAGCUUAACUGGAGAACUGCACUUGAAGCUUCUAAUCUAGAGUAUGGGAGGGGGAGAUGGAAUUAGUGGUGUAGGGGUAAAAUCCGUAGAUAUCACUAGGAAUACCUAAAGCGAAGGCGAUCUCCUGGAACAUUACUGACGCUAAGGCGUGAAAGCGUGGGGAGCAAACAGGAUUAGAUACCCGAGUAGUC